GCCCGGGUGGUCUAGUGGUAUGAUUCUCGCUUAGGGUCCAACCCAAGCAUAUCUGCGAGAGGUCCCGCGUUCGAUCCGCGGCUCGGGCC
rnacentral:tRNA from 1 species